rnacentral:rRNA from 1 species
GACGAACCGUGCGAACGUUGUUCGGAAUCACUGGGCUUAAAGGGCGCGUAGGCGGGGUGGACAGUAUAUGGUGAAAUCCUCCGCCUCAACCGGAGAACUGCCGUGGAUACUGCCACUCUCGAGGGGUGUAGGGGCAUGCGGAACUUCCGGUGGAGCGGUGAAAUGCGUAGAUAUCGGAAGGAACGCCGGUGGCGAAAGCGGCGUGCUGGACACCUUCUGACGCUGAGGCGCGAAAGCCAGGGGAGCAAACGGG